UCACUAAUACCUUUCCAGCCUGCUUCUAGGACUCUUUUAAAAUCUCCUGGCUCUUAACCAGAAACAAAGAGUGUGAGCGCCUAUUGAAACAGUUCCUCGCAGUCAGGCAAUUUCUUCUCUGUGGGAGCAGUUGCUUUUGCUCUCCUUAGGCAUCCCAAGCACUUCGUACCAUCCAGUGUGUUGAGCAUGGCAACACGUCUGUGAGGCUGUGGCUGAGGAAGUAAGUCUUGAAAUACACCGUGGAUUUACCCUUCGUGUUGAAUGGAUGGCUGAUUGGCAGGAUUGUUUCCAUUCUGCCCUCAUCUAACUCCUCCGAGCACAUGGUGCGUGCAGAGGCCCAGCUGAGUGGCAGCAGGUGCAGCCAUGCACCAUCUCUUUGGACUGGUUUUGGCACAAAGGGACCUGUCGCGUGCAGGGGAUCUCUUCUCCUUGGAUGAUGCUGAAAUCGAAGGAAGCCUCUCCGAAGCUCUUGAACAAAUAAGAAUAAUUAGUUCAUCUGCGGACUACCAAACUAACGACAACGACCAGGCCGUUGUGGAAAUCUGCAUCACUCGCAUCACCACUGCCAUCAGGGAGACGGAGUCCAUAGAGAAGCACGGGAAGGCCCUGGUGGCUCUCUGGGAAUCGUGUCUGGAGCACAACCUGAAGCCUUCUGGCAAAGACGAGGACACGCCGCAUGCAAAAAUCGCAUCUGAUAUCAUGAGCUGCAUCUUGCAGAAUUACAACCGCCCUCCGGUGAUGGCCUUGGCUGUCCCAGUGGCGGUGAAAUUCCUUCAGAUGGGCAAUAAGGAGCUGUGCAGGAACAUGUCGAGUUACCUCUCCCUGGCUGCCAUUGCUGAAGCAGAGCUGCUGGCUGAUCACGCAGAUGCCAUUGUCAAAAGUGUCCUUCAAGGGAACUCGCUGCUGCUGCGCGUCCUGCCCGCCCUGUACGAGAAGCAGCCGCGGCCGAUGGCACGCCGCCUGCCCGAGCUGCUGGCGCUGAUGGGCCACCUGCAGCCAGCCGAGCAGCACCACCUCCUGCGCCUGCUCCAGCUCGUGGCACGGAGGAAAGAGCUCGGGGUGCUGAAAGAGUGUAUUCCGUGUCUAUUGGGACACUUAAGAGACCCCAACCACAGUGACAUUAUCCUGAACAUACUGAUAGAAGUAUCUGGCUAUGACCCAACAGCCUUGGCUGCUUUUCUUCCAGAGCUAAAAGAAAUUGGUGAGAGUUUCCCACAUUUGAUUGGGCAAACGGCAAAGAUCUUUGGAGCUGUUGGACACGUUGAUGAGGAGCAAGCCAGGAGGUGCCUGAUGUAUUUGGUGAACCAGCUGGCCAACAUGGAGCACUCUUUUCACCACACCCUUUUGCUGGAAAUUAAGAGUCUCACCGACGCGUUCUCCGGCAUCUUGGGCACCCAGAGCAGAGACAUCUACCGCAUGAGCAACAGCUUCACUGCCAUAGCCAAGCUCCUGGUGCGACAGCUGGAGAGCAGCAGCGUGCCAGCAGCCAGGACAGAAAACAAUACCGACAUGGAAUCUCCUGUACCACUGGGUGAUUUAAAAGCUGUUGUGAAUGGAAAUGAAGAAGACGAAAGGCUUCAAGAGAAAAUACAGGCUUUUGAAGAAAAAAUAAAUAUCGACGGCAGUACCCCUGGCUCAGUGAGAAGAUACAGCUUAGGCCAGGUUUCUAAAGAAGAAAGGAAGGACAUGAGAUUUAACAGGUCCAAGAGCCUGGCUUUGCAUGCAGUCCGCAUGAAGGGGGUGAACACAGACAGUGGACAAGAAGAGGAGAACGGGGACGUAACUGCUGGGAUCUCCUUCACUGAGAUCUACAUCGGCCAAGAAAAUGGCAAGAUGCCUUUUACUGUUGAUGAUGAAGAAAUGCAACUGGGAAAUUCCCUGGUUUCACACCAAAGUAUGGAUUGCGCAGAAUCGGAAUGUUCUCCAGCACCUGAGGGAGAAGAGGCCCAGGAAGGAAGCGUGGAGGUGGGGAAAGGCCCUGCAGAGUGCCACGACAAGCUCUACCUGCACUUGAAGGAAAACUUGGGUAAAGUGAAAGCAUACGUCAUGGAGAUGGGGAGGAGGAUCCCUGUCCCCGACCAGUGUGUUAUCGAAGAUACCGUGAGAAGCUGCGUAGCAAAGCUGUUCUUCAGCUGUCCCCUGAAGGGCCACUACUGCCUGUACAGCAAAUCCAGCUUCACGCUGCUCAGCUCGCAGCCUCCGCUGUGGAUCCACAUCAUGUUCCUCUUCCAGCAGAGCCUGUUUGCAGAACCUUUGUCAAUACAGAGUAGUCCAGUGCAAGUCCUCAAGGCCCUGUGGGAGAAGACACAGCUCAAGGGGACGCACAGUUUUGAAACUGCCAUGAUCCAGUCCACGUUCCCACACCAAAAGGAUCUGGACCACGUGCAGAUGCACCUGGAAGAAGUGAGGUUCUUUGAUUUAUUUGGCUACAGCGAGGAAGCGGGAGCCUGGCAGUGCUUCAUGUGCAAUAACCCUGAGAAGGCAACAGAUGCCAUUUAUCCUGGGGUCUUAGGGAAGGAUUAUGCCCUGAAGCCUGGAUCUUGCUGCGGGACGCCAGCUCCGUGAUGCUGCUUGCAGAUGCGGCUCUGAUCGUUGUGCUUCAGCAAUGCGGUGGAUGUACCCAAAGCAGCAGUUAGCCCAGAGAAAGUUUGACCAUUUCACACGCAUUCUUCACACUUUAAAGCAUGGCUUAGACAACCGCACUCUUCCAGAAGUGCUGCUAAAUCGUCCUGAAUUGUUUUGUUCCCGAUAUCCCUGAGCCAAGGAGGGAGAGAGCAUUCCUGCAAGCCCGACUCAUCUGCCCACGUACACGUACACGCACUGGCUCUGUUGCUGGUCCCAGAGCUAGGAGAACCAAACUGCACUAUUUUCUGUUCUUAUUUUUUUUAAACAAUAACCAUUCGAGCGUGGAUGCGAGGCAUUAGAGAUGUUAGUAAGCACUGCGUGCCUCUCGUUGGGAAAAGCUGGCUUUUAAGAGCCUCAUUUCAACAUAACCUCCUGCGCUGACAGUUGGCUCGCAAGCCCUCGCACACCAAAAAUUCAGUAAAACCACUUGAUAGCCUGCGAGGGAAUUGCAGUGCAUGCCUUGUUCUGGGAGCUUACAAAGACAUGGCAGUAAUCCCCGUGGGCUGCAGAAGAGACACUGUGCCCAUGGGCAAUGAUUCGGGUAAAACUGAGGGCUUUUGAUGAAUUCCUCCUUAAAAAAGCAAUUCGCUCAGGAGAGCCCACACCGUGUUAAGUUCUGAAUGCAUUUAUCUUUUGCGAGCAGUGGUGAUUAUCUGGUGAACCGAAAUAUCCCCGCUGUAAUGCUUGCUUGAAAAUUAUAAAAUGUGGCAUUCAGUAACGUGUCCUUUCCAGGUUUUCAACAAAACCAAAUGCGAUGAUUAAUGAAGGAGAGCCAAUCCAUAUUCCCUUAGGUUAAUUGCAUUUAUCUUCUGCUUGCCACCCACACAUUCCAUUCUUUCAAGUUAAGAGGGGCUUAUUAUCAUUGAGAUCAUUCAUGAUCGGACUGAAUUUUUGUGGAUGGCUUCGUUUCAUCAAACAGAAGAUUUAAUGCUUUGCUUUUUUCUUGAGUUCAUCUUGGAAGAGUUUCAGGUUUUGUUUUGUUUUAUUACUUUUGUUCAGUACCCAAACAACUCGGAGUUUGGCACAUUGUAAUUCUGCAAAGAAAGCAAGAUGGAAGUAAUAGAAAAUAAUUCCAGCUUACCUCAUGGCGGACGCUUACAUGAGUGGGUAUUAUUCAAGGUUGAACUGAUUUUGGAGUUAGUCUCUCUCCACUGAGACGGUUUAGGAAGCAAUGGAUACUAUAGUAGGAAAAAAAAUCAUUUCUAGUUUCAGGGUACUAUUUUUAGCAUUUUUAGCCUCUCGGGUGUUCUUUGGAAAAAAAAAAAUGUAGUGAAAAAUAUGUGGUAGAUACAACAUUUUGAGUCCUUCCCUCCUUUCUUUGAGUGAAAGAGCUCAUGGAACGUCAAUAAACCACUGCACGGUGCUUCCAGCCCCAGAGACCGCGUGGCCGCCCAGUCUGACCCUCUGUAAAACAAUAGCCAAGAACCCACUCCAGUAAUGCUUAUGUCAAGGAAAUCUUUCCUCUUUGGUCAGUAUCAUCACGUUAGUGUAUUUCUCUAAAGAUGACCAAACCUGUUCUUUAAAAGUAAGAGAAGGAGAACUGAUGAGUUGUUGCUUAGGUAAAUCAACCUCCUGCUCAAACGUGGGAUUAUUUCUGCCCUGUCUCUGAGCUCUGGAGCUCACGGUGCCCUUCCCUGUUAUGAGGAAAGUGGCUCUGUGUGGGCUUUAUCACGUCACAUCUCGAUCUUUGCUUGCGAAACUGAAGAGAAUGCACUCCGUUUCCCAUGACAUGAGCCUUCAGACAUUUUUGUAUCGCUCUGCUGAAGAAUUCUCAGUUUGCCUAGAGGUGAACAAACCAAAAGGAGACACAACAUUCCGGUGAUCGGUGUGUGUGGAGGGAAUGCAUACGCAACACCUGGCAGCUGAGCGCAUCUUUUUAAUCCUUCUAACUGCAGUAAAAAUGCAGAUGCUUCUUCCAUAUAACGAUGCUCUGUAUGGUAAGCCACGGGGUCACCAGCAACUGAGUUUGGGUCUGGCAAGACCCAAAGAGUAAAUCUGUGCCUUCCCGGGGCAGUGUGGAUCCUCUCCCGCUGCCCUGCGCCAGCACAGCCCCAUGCAUCCAAUCCUGCUUUGCACACAAUGUGCGCUCAGCGGCUGCAGCGGUGGCUGAGUAAAAUCCCAGUAAGGACUGGGGCAGGUGGCCCUGGGAGGUUUGGGGCUGGUUCAAUCUGGAGGGACCCGACAGCAGCCUGCCCACCCUGCAAGAGGGCACUGGGAAGAUGCAGCCAGGAUCUUUGUGGGGCCACGUGGCACGAGGACAGGAGGUGAGAGGCAUCUAUUGGAAUAAGAGAAGUUCAGAUCGGCUGCAAGUGGCAGCUUUCCCACCACGGGGAUGGUCAGUCAUUGGGGCAGCUUGCCUGGAGAGGUCGCUGAGAUUUUCACGUCCCAGGUCAAUAAAUCCUUGAGCAACCUAGUCCGACCCUAGAGCCGACCUUGCUGUGAGCAGGAGGUGGGAUGAGAAGCCCCUCAAGUUCCCUUCCAGCUGAAUUAUUCUGUCUCUCUGUGAAGUUAACUGCAAUCAAAACAAGCGAAAGGACUUAGAAAAAUAUUGGAAAAGGGCUUCGUUCUUAUCUUUCAUGAAUCUUUUUCUUCUAAUCAGACCCUCAGACAUACUGGCAUCUGCUUCGUUAUGACGACUUUGGAAGCUGACAUCAGAAUUCCCCACAGACCUCUUAGUGGAUGUAGGCGAGAAGUGCUCUGUUAUCAUUGGUUCCAGCCCCGAGUGCUUGAAGACAGACCAGCAUUUCUUUAGUAAAUCCUGUUUGGGAAAGACUUUGGCCAUGAAAAUCCACUUUAGGCCAAAAUUGCACAUUAACUUCCUUUCCCAUGUUGCUUUCCUGACCACCAACCAUCUCAGUGCCCAAAUGUUUUGUGCCUUAAAGCUUCUUAGUUUGGCUUAAAACGUGUUCCUACUGCCCUGAAAUCAGCAUUGCUGCACAAGGCCUAACCCUUGAGCAACUAUCUUCCCAUAUCAAAUCUUUCUUUAGCUCUAUCCAGAUGUUUAUACAUCCAACAUCAAUGUCUGAAAGUUAAUGUGCACGUAAUGAGUUAUUUAGAGUUCUCAUUUAGAAGUAAAGGCUCUAUUCCUGUCCUAUCUUCGUCCUUUUUUAUUAAAGGGAAGUUCUCCCUGUUUCCUGCACGCUCUGGGAAGGCGUGCUGCUUGCUGCUGCCGGUGUUUCUCAGAGUCACGACUUUUUGCUCUGUCUGUCACCGCGUGGCCUUCAUCACAGCAGUCCUGGCACCUCAUCCUGGGAGAUGGCGUGGCACCGUGCCCUGUGGUUAUCGCUACUGAGGAGGUAUUUCCUGCAUAGUCUCACGGUGAUAAUGCACCCUCCACCAAGAGGCUGCACACGUGAAUGGCAAAUAAUGGGAAUGAUGGAGGAUCGGGGCUGCGAGGCGUGCAGAACAACCUCUCUUUAUCACAGAAAUCGUGGGCAUGGUUCCCUGUUGUGGCUGAAACUUGGCCACCCCCCUUUUCAUUCAGUGUAUCUCCUUCCAGAGACAGAAAUAUUUACGGUCUUUCAUGAGGAAAUUGAAGCAGUACACACUGAAGACCCCCAAAGCAUGUGCUUCUGCCAAUGUAAACAGCGCUGGGGAAAAAACCACAUUCCUGAUCCAAACCUGCUGCAUCGUACUGAGGUUGUUUCCUGCUCCCAGGGAGGACACAGUGCAGGGAGCCGCGUGUCCCAGAGCCACGCAGCUCGAGUCCCCAGCUGAGGCUCUUCCCAGCACCACCAGUGCUGCCCAUGGCCCCGUCACCUUGCAUCCUCAGCAUCACGCUGCCCUUCUGCAGUCUGAGCUCUGCAAGGCCCUGCACAGAGGACAGUGGGCAAGGAAGAAUCACUCUUGCUUGCUCCAUAUGUGAAGAGGUUGCUCCAGGGCAGUGUUUUGAAGCCCAUCUGAUGCCCUUGGUCUUCCCCACGCUGGGAGAUGCCUUCCUGCACACCAGAUUUGGGAAUGUUCUUCCACGCCCCGAAGCCUUGCACACUUCUGCACGUGGAGGUGGCCCCAUCUCUACAAACACAUCAGUAAAAGCACUUCCUGGUGUUCCUGCAGGGCUUUAAGUUCUCAAAGGGGUUCUGAAUACAGCGCUGUUUCCUCACGGAGGGAAAUAAGAGUUUCAUCUCCCUUCUUAAGGACUUUUAUUUCCGUGCUGACAGACUCGAACUAUUUUUCUGCGGCAGGCUGAGGUCACUUUGCAGAAUGACAGUGGGGCUGAGUGUGCCAUGCAUGCUCCUGCUGUGCCCUGAGAGCUGUGCUGCACACCGUGCAUCUGCCACUGCCUUCUGCUCUAGCUGCAGGCAGCACCGUACUGCAGUUGGUGAGGGCAGAAGUUGUUGUGUCUCUCCCUCUCUUCCUCCUCACUGACCUGGGCAGAGCUACCCUGUCUUUCGUUUAACACAUGCUCCAUACAGAUGGCAUUCACCCACGCAUUGCACAGGUGCUGUUUUUGCUGUUACCACUCAGGGAAGCAGAAAGGCCGCGGUGUUGGUUGAUGAUAAGUAAGCAAGUUUUGCUGCAAAAGGGUAAAAUUGUGUCUGUGCAGCUGGAAGCACAGGCGGGUUGUGCUGGUGGGCACAUGGCAGUGAGUGGGGAGCGAGGUAACCUGCCCAUAGCACUGCAGAGCAGGAGCAGAACUCUGUGCUGAACUCUGCAGCGUGGCGUGAAGCCAUAGAGACAGCAUAAGUGCUGGUUUCCAAUUGCACAAAGUAAUAAAUUCUUGCAGGGCUGAGGAACAAUUGGGAGGCAUGAUGCUGGGGAUAAGUAUGCAAUGAACAAGGGACUGAAGGAAGAAUUGCAGCCUGCUCCAGCUGCCAGGCCUCCCAGACCAUGUAUGAAGGUGAACCAGGACGGGCAGCCGCUGAUGGAAGGCAAGCUGAAGGAGAAGCAGGUCCGCUGGAAGUUCAUCAAGAGGUGGAAAACUCGCUACUUCACCCUCGCUGGCAACCAGCUGCUCUUUCGGAAAGGGAAAUC